UUUAAGAAAGCGAAAGAUUGCAAUCAGUUUCGACCUGAAUUUUGGAUAACCUCCUCUUUUAA
rnacentral:tRNA from 1 species